GACAGAGGGUGCAAACGUUGUUCGGAAUUACUGGGCGUAAAGCGCGUGUAGGCGGCCCUGCAAGUCGGGUGUGAAAUCCCACGGCUCAACCGUGGAAGUGCACUCGAAACUGCAGGGCUAGAGUCCUGGAGAGGAAGGUGGAAUGCUUGGUGUAGAGGUGAAAUUCGUAGAUAUCAAGCGAAACACCGGUGGCGAAGGCGGCCUUCUGGACAGUGACUGACGCUGAGAUGCGAAAGCGUGGGGAGCAAACAGG
rnacentral:rRNA from 1 species